AAUGAACGCUGGCGGCAGGCCUCACACAUGCAAGUCGAACGAGUGGCGGACGGGUGAGACAUGUCUGGGAAACUGCCAGAUGGCGGGGGAUAACUACUGGAAACGGUAGCUAAUACCGCAUACCAUCGGAUGUGCCCAGAUGGGAUUAGCCAGUAGGUGGGGUAAAGGCUCACCUAGGCGACGAUCCCUAGCUGGUCUGAGAGGAUGACCAGCCACACUGGAACUGAGACACGGUCCAGACUCCUACGGGAGGCAGCAGUGGGGAAUAUUGCACAAUGGGCGCAAGCCUGAUGCAGCCAUGCCGCGUGUAUGAAGAAGGCCUUCGGGUUGUAAAGUACUUUCAGCGGGGAGGCGUUACCCGCAGAAGAAGCACCGGCUAACUCCGUGCCAGCAGCCGCGGUAAUAC
rnacentral:rRNA from 1 species